rnacentral:lncRNA from 1 species
UCGGCUUAGAAACCCAUAGGUUUAGGCCUAAAAUAGGAAGAUCUUACUCAAAAUCGAUCCAUGGCAGCCUGAAACAGGCAAGAAGAGACCAAGGUGGGAGUGGACUCACCCUUGUCCCUUGAGGGCCUUAGAGACCGCACGAAUCCCGGCCUGAGAGCGACAUUAGAGGCCUGAGAAUGGUGAAGAACAACCAUGGUUGACUGUGGAGAGCUAUAGUGAGGUGAAAUUUUAGGAUUAGGGUCCGAGAGAGCUCGAGAAUAUUCGAGAAAGGAGGAGAUGACUGUCGG